GCCAGUAUGGUGUAGUGAUUUGAGCACUGGACUAUGACUCUGGAGAGCAGGGUUCGAAUCCCGGUUCAGCCA